rnacentral:rRNA from 1 species
GAUCAUGGCUCAGGACGAACGCUGGCGGCGCGCCUAACACAUGCAAGUCGAACGAGCGAGAGAGAGCUUGCUUUCUCGAGCGAGUGGCGAACGGGUGAGUAACGCGUGAGGAACCUGCCUCAAAGAGGGGGACAACAGUUGGAAACGACUGCUAAUACCGCAUAAGCCCACGACCCGGCAUCGGGAAGAGGGAAAAGGAGCAAUCCGCUUUGAGAUGGCCUCGCGUCCGAUUAGCCAG